rnacentral:rRNA from 1 species
AUGCUUCGCCUCCGAAGCUGCAUCGUGUCCCAUCUCCUCUCGUCUCCAUCCACCCCUCUCCCCCGCCUCCUCUCCGCGGCCGCGCCCGCCGUUUCCCCGAGCACCGGAUUCGCCGUGGAGGAGUACCUCGUCGCCACCUGCGGCCUCACCCGAGCGCAGGCCCUCAAGGCUUCCCCGAAGAUCUCCCACCUCAAGUCCCCCUCUAAUCCCGACGCCGUCCUCGCCUUCCUCGCCGGCCUCGGCCUCUCCAGAGCCGACGUCGCCACCGCCGUCGCCAAGGACCCCAGGUUACUCUGCGCCCGCGUGGAGAGUACUCUGGCCCCCAACUUGGCUGCGCUCAGCGGCAUCGGGUUGUCGCGCUCUGAGAUCGUGCCCCUCCUCCGCUUGCGCUGCAGAUCUGUCGUCUCCAAGCUGCAGUACUACCUGACCCUCUUCGGCUCCUCCGAGGCCUUCCUCCAGGCGUUGAAGUUCAACUGCAACCUCCUCACGCACAGCAUCGAGAGCGCGGUCGAGCCCAAUGUGGCGUUGCUGCGGGAGUGCGGGCUAGGUGAUCGCGAUAUUGCCAAGUUAUGCGUUGGUAUGCCAUGGCUGCUGGCAGCCAACCCAGAAUGCAUCCGAUCAAUGGUUGCCCGUGCCGACGGUCUUGGCGUGAGCCGGGAAUCUCCGAUGUUCAGGCACGCGAUGCAUGCUGUUGCAUUCCACAGCGAGGAGAAGAUUGCUGCCAAAAUGGCGUACCUGAAAAAGACGCUCAGGUGGUCGGAUGCUGAGGUGCGCAUUGCUUUGUCCAAGUCUCCAAUGAUGCUGAGGAGUUCUGAGGGCAUGGUGCAGCGCAUGUCAGAGUUCCUCAUCUCUGAGAUGGGUUUGGAACCAGCAUACAUUGCUCAUCGGCCGGCAAUGCUCGCUUACAGCCUGGAGCGCCGGAUCAGACCCAGGUACUACGUUGUUAAGUAUCUUAAGGAAAAUGGAUUGGUAAGUCGCGACCGGGACUACUAUUCCGCACUCACGCCGUCCGAGAUGAUAUUCUUGGAGAAGUACAUAUGCCCUCACAAGAAAGCUGCGCCGUACCUUGCUGAAGACUAUGAUGAUGUUUGCAGAGGACAAGUGCCUGAUAGAUUCAGAUUUGCAUGA